rnacentral:rRNA from 2 species
UACGGAGGGUGCGAGCGUUGUCCGGAAUCAUUGGGCGUAAAGGGCGCGUAGGUGGCCCGGUCAGUCUUUGGUGAAAGCGCGGGGCUCAACCCUGCGUCGGCCAGGGAUACUGCCGCGGCUCGAGCACUGUAGAGGCAGGCGGAAUUCCGGGUGUAGCGGUGGAAUGCGUAGAGAUCCGGAAGAACACCGGUGGCGAAGGCGGCCUGCUGGGCAGUAUGGCUGACACUGAGGCGCGACAGCGUGGGGAGCAAACAGG